rnacentral:rRNA from 1 species
CCUACGGGCGGCUGCAGUGAGGAAUAUUGGUCAAUGGGCGGAAGCCUGAACCAGCCAAGUCGCGUGAGGGAAUAAGGCCCUACGGGUCGUAAACCUCUUUUGCCGGGGAGCAAGGGCGGGGACGUGUCCCGUCCCGGAGAGUACCCGGAGAAAAAGCAUCGGCUAACUCCGUGCCAGCAGCCGCGGUAAUACGGAGGAUGCGAGCGUUAUCCGGAUUUAUUGGGUUUAAAGGGUGCGUAGGCGGGCUUUUAAGUCAGCGGUAAAAAUUCGGGGCUCAACCCCGUCCGGCCGUUGAAACUGGGGGCCUUGAGUGGGCGAGAAGAAGGCGGAAUGCGUGGUGUAGCGGUGAAAUGCAUAGAUAUCACGCAGAACCCCGAUUGCGAAGGCAGCCUUCCGGCGCCCUACUGACGCUGAGGCACGAAAGUGCGGGGAUCGAACAGGAUUAGAUACCCCUGUAGUC